rnacentral:rRNA from 1 species
GACGGAGGGUGCUAGCGUUGUUCGGAAUCACUGGGCGUAAAGGGCGCGUAGGCGGUCAUUCAAGUCGAGUGUGAAAGCCCGGGGCUCAACCUCGGAACUGCAUUCGAUACUGGAUGGCUUGAGGCCGGAAGAGGAGAGUGGAAUACCCAGUGUAGAGGUGAAAUUCGUAGAUAUUGGGUGGAACACCAGUGGCGAAAGCGGCUCUCUGGUCCGGUCCUGACGCUGAGGCGCGAAAGCGUGGGUAGCAAACAGG